AAAAAAACUUUGGCCACAAUAGCACAACCGAUCUGUAUCUGGAUUAUUUUCGAAUGACACGAGUUCGGUGAGAUGUCAAAAGCCCGAUCUUAAAGAAAAAAAAGUAAGGGAAAACCACUUUGACAGUUGGCGGAGUACCUCAAAAAAUUGGUACCGCAUGUUAAAUCUAACUGGACAAACAUCACCCGAUUCACAUCUCUCAAUAUAUGUAAAUCUUAUAUACACUCAUCUAUGUAUUGGUGAGCAUUUCUAUAUUCCCCUUUUCUAUCUUCGAAUUCGAAAUUCAAUAUCGGGCACGUUCAUACGUACUAAAACUGAACACUCAUAUUAGUUUGUUAUAACCAGCAACCGAUAGAUGGCUUGUUAGGUUAAGGGUGUUAUUAUACUGUCCUAUUCAGAAUGGGAAGUUAAACUUUGGUUUGUACCUAAAACUACAAUUAUAACGCGUAACAUGAACAUCAACAAAAAGUACGUAUUGAACAAAUAAAAACAACUAAUUAGAGACACCUUCGGACCCGUUUCUGAGCCGAAGUCGGACUCAGCUCCGCCCGAGUCGGAGCGGAUUCGGACCGAUGUCGGACUUGUUUGCUUGAAGGGUAGGCACGAAUCGGCCCAUUCAACUCGAUCCUCAUGUAACCAUAUAAGGUGCUAAGUCUGAACAAUGGUUGGUCGGUGUCAGUCCAUAGACUAUAAUUUAUGUCACAUCAAAUUCGAACAUGGCAAAUUCAACAUGGCAGGUUCUAUCAACAAUUUCUAUUUGGAGUACUCAUCCAGGGAUUCGUCACAAGCAGGUUUCUUGACUCGAUUGGAGGCAGUUCCCCAGGCGUCCGCAACAAAAUUUGCUACUUAUUGGGAUAUAUUCCCAAUAAGGAGUAAAAAUGCACGAAGUGUAGUCGGUCGCCUGGGAUGAAGAAAACAAAAAAAAAUCUGCAGAUGUCUACGCUCGAGAGGAGAACAUCAGCAAACUACAAUGCUGCCACGCAAGUGAAGUUUGAUGAAAGUGUUAAGUUGGAUCGAAAUAACAAUCCCAUCGGUUUUGGGAUCUUUGUUGGGAUGAUUGAUUGUAGUAAUCAUAACAUCCAACCAAUUUUCAACAGAGACAAAAAAACAGAUACACCCCAAAACAUCACAUAAGGACCAUCAAAAAUGAACUGGACAAUACUGAGCGCACGACCACAGACUCCAACCUUAAUAUAUUGCCGGUACGUCUAUCGUUUUUUUUUCUAAGUGGUAUUCGUGGACCUAAACUUUAAUUUAUUCAUUUUUUUUUUUCUUGGGUUGUGGGGAAAAACCCACGAUUGAAGCCGGGCCUUAAAAGAUAAAAAACUAUUGACGCAGCUCAAGUCAAGAUUGCAGUUAUGGAAGUUAAUGAGCUCUAUCCGGAUAGAAUUUACGAAACAUCUUUACCAUGGAUCAACAAUUUUUUGCACAGAUUAUAACUGGUGAGCGUUUUGUUAAGUAUUUUUAUUUACAUCUAGUAGUAUUAUUACAAACAUAAGUAAUUCAAACAUGC